rnacentral:sRNA from 2 species
AAAGAUAUUUCGCUGAAUUCCUUUUAGGGAGCGGGGGAACCAAUCGUGAGGAUGAUCUUGUCUUCACAUGGGGUGAAUCUCGAAUGUUCGAGUAGGGUUAUUCUUUGAGCCCGAAUCCGUCAGCUAACCCCGUAAGCGUACAAAGCGAGGAGUC